UACGAAGGGGGCUAGCGUUGUUCGGAAUUACUGGGCGUAAAGCGCGCGCAGGCGGUCCUUUAAGUCGGGGGUGAAAGCCCAGAGCUCAACUCUGGAACUGCCUUCGAAACUAGAGGACUUGGGUACGGGAGAGGUGAGUGGAAUUCCGAGUGUAGAGGUGAAAUUCGUAGAUAUUCGGAAGAACACCAGUGGCGAAGGCGGCUCACUGGCCCGUUACCGACGCUGAGACGCGAAAGCGUGGGGAGCGAACAGG
rnacentral:rRNA from 1 species